GUCAGGUUGCGGAUACAGGAUUCCCUCCAGGUUCUGAGCUCUCGGCUGGCUCUGGAUGCUCCGAGGAGGACGUGGAUGGCAGCCGAGCUCUUCAAACCCAGUGGAUUUUCAGAUGUCAAGGAGAUCUGUGGUAAUUCAGUGACCACCAGGGGGCAUCAGGAUCUCUGGGUGUCCUGAAUAACCAAGCCUGCACUGAAUAAGGAUGAGGUUACCACAGAGCAUUGAAUAGAGUUCCCUAUGCAGUAUAUUCUCAUUUUCAAUCCUUAUGCCAUGGAAUUGAUGCUUUUGAACUGUGGUGUUGGAGAAGACUCUUGAGAGUCCCUUGAACUGUAAGG